CACCGCGGUUAUACGAGGGACUCAAGUUGACAAUCACCGGCGUAAAGCGUGGUUAGAUUUAUAGAUAAACUAAAGCCGAAAACAUUCAUAGCAGUCAUACGCAUGAAAGUAAUAAGCCCACUUACGAAAGUAGCUUUAUAGCAUUUUGAACCCACGAAAACUGGGAGA
rnacentral:rRNA from 1 species